UGCUUGAAAGAAAUAAAUCUCAUAUUGAUGCAUUAUUACAUUGAUUAGGACCUAGACAACCUUGAAUGAUAAUGUAUAUCUUAAGAACGAAUUUCAAAUAUGACAUGAGAUUAAAGUAUGUGAAUUCGGAAUGUAGGAAUAAAAGAAGAAAGUUCAAGUCAAUCCGGGUCGCAAGCGAAGGACGGUAAAGGUAAAGCAACUUGCUAAAUGGCGUCGCUUGGAUCGAACACCCUCAUGAUGCACGCUUCCGCAAGGAUUUAGCUUCGGUUAAAACUUUUGUUAAAUGUACUUUUUGGUAAAACGGGUCUUUUGUAAGUAACAAAACUUGGUCGUUGUUAGUGGUCGAACUCGUAGUCGAAGACAAUGUUAGUUAUGUAUCAAAUGUUGGGUUGUAAGCUAUUUUAAUAUCUCCUAGUUAAUUAUGCUAUGGUAAAAUGCAGAAUUUUCAUUUA